rnacentral:lncRNA from 1 species
CUUUGCCAUCUGCUCCUUGGAUAGGGUAUUAAUAUUCAAAAUAUAUAAAGAACUCAAAAACUUAAACCCCCCAAAUAAUUGAUAAAUGGGCAGAAGUACUAAACAUACACUUCUCAAAAGAAGAAAUAAAAAUGGCCAACAAAUAUAUGAAAAACAAUGUUCAACAUCUCUAGCAAUUAGGUAAAUGAGCAUAAUUGAGUUUCAUUAGUUCUAUCUCAUUCCUGUCAAAAUGGCAAUUUUCAAAAAUAAAAAUAAUAAUAAGUAUUGUGAGGACUUAAAGAAAAAGGUACAUUCAUACAUUGUUGGGGAGGACUGUAAAUUAGUCCAACCACUCUGGAAAGCAUUAAGGAGAUUCCUCCAAAAACUAGGAAUGGAACCACCAUAGAUUCAGCUUUCCCACUUCUCAAUAUAUAUAUACAAGAUUUAAAAUCAGCAUACUACAGCGAAAUGGCCACAUCUAUGUUUACAGCAGCACAAUUCAUAAUAGCCAAGCCAUGAAACCAACCUAGGUACCCUUAAACAAAUGGAUGGAUAAAGAAAAUGUGGCAUAUAUACACAAUGGAUUAUUACUCAGCCAUAAAGAAGAAUGAAAUUCUGUCAUUUGCCAGAAAAUGGAUGAAAUUGGAGACUAUCAUGUUAAGUGAAAUAAGCCAGACCCAGAAAGCCAAAGGAUGAAUGUUUUCACUGAUAUGCAGAAGCUAGUCCAAAAUAAAAGAAAAAAAAGAGAAAAGAAAUGGAGGUGAGGGAGAUUUGAUCAAAAUAAAGAUCAGUGGAGUAGAGAAAGGGUUUUGAGGGGGUGGAGGACAGAUGGGAUAAAGGAAAAACAGUGGAGUGAAUCUGACCUGACUUUCCUAUGUUCAUAUAAAAUACACCACUGUGAAUCUUACCGUAUGCAUAUUACAAGACACUAAUUAAAAAUAUAUAUAAGUUAAUAGCAGAAAGAUCAGUAGAGGAGAGGAAAUAAAACGGGGAUGGAGGAGAAGAGAAGGGAAUCACUGGGGACUCUGUGCCUCUAUAAUCACUUCAGAAUGAACCCUACUAUCAUGUAAAACAAAUAUGAACCAGUAAAAAGUGAAAAAAUGUUCUGUCUAGGAUACUGUUUAUAUAAUCUGAUGGGAAGGGGGUGGGAGUCCACACAAUUAUCUUAAGAGGGCUGUGCAAUCAGAG